GCCCUGGUGGUGAAAUUGGUAGACACAAGGGAUUUAAAAUCCCUCGACUUUCGAGUCGUGUCGGUUCAAGUCCGGCCCGGGGCACCA
rnacentral:tRNA from 1 species